UGCCUAACAGCUAGCCCAUCCAAACAAUUUCAACAAACCCCUGUUAAUAACCCCUAAAUACCCCAGUAUUUAUUUUAAACAAACCAUUUUUCCCCCCUAGUAUAGGCGAUAGAAAAGGGCCCACGGCGCAAUAGAGAAAGUACCGCAAGGGAACGCUGAAAGAGAAGUGAAACAACCCAGUAAAGCCUAAAAAAGCAGAGAUCAAAACUCGUACCUUUUGCAUCAUGAUUUAGCAAGUGUAACCCAAGCAAAGCGUACUUUAGUUUGACGUCCCGAAACUAGGUGAGCUACUCCAAGACAGCCUAUCAAUAGGGCGUACCCGUCUCUGUGGCAAAAGAGUGGGGAGAGCUUUGAGUAGAGGUGACAAACCUACCGAACCUAGUUAUAGCUGGUUGUCCAAGAAAUGAAUAGAAGUUCAGCCUUUCAGCUUCUCUUUUCACUUUAGUCUGACCCCUACUGAUGCAUUAAAGAAACCGAAAGAGUUAGUCAAAGGGGGUACAGCCCCUUUGAAUCAAGACACAACUUUACCAGGUGGGUAAAGAUCAUAAUAAUUAAAGCUAAAUGUUCUGGUGGGCCUAAAAGCAGCCAUCCCCUUAGAAAGCGUUAAAGCUCAGACAUGCGACCACCCUUCUUAUUCUGAUCACUAAAUCUUACCCCCCUAACCGUACUGGACCAUCCCAUGCCCCCAUGGGAGUGACUAUGCUGAAAUGAGUAAUAAGAGAGCUACCGGCUCUCUCCCUGCACACGUGUACAUCGGAACGGACAACCCACCGAACCUUAACGGCCCCAAAUAAAGAGGGCAGUGGAUGUCAGACCAAAAAACUAGAAAAAUAUCCAAAAACAAACCGUUAAACCCACACAGGUGUGCCCCCAGGGAAAGACUAAAAGAA
rnacentral:rRNA from 1 species